rnacentral:rRNA from 1 species
GACGAACGCUGGCGGCGUGCUUAACACAUGCAAGUCGAACGGAAAGGCCUCUUUCGGGGGGUACUCGAGUGGCGAACGGGUGAGUAACACGUGAGUAACCUGCCCUUGACUUUGGGAUAACUUCAGGAAACUGGGGCUAAUACCGGAUAGGAGCUCCUGCUGCAUGGUGGGGGUUGGAAAGUUUCGGCGGUUGGGGAUGGACUCGCGGCUUAUCAGCUUGUUGGUGGGGUAGUGGCUUACCAAGGCUUUUACGGGUAGCCGGCCGGAGAGGGUGACCGGCCACAUUGGGACUGAGAUACGGCCCAGACUCCUACGGGAGGCAGCAGUGGGGAAUAUUGCACAAUGGGUGGAAGCCUGAUGCAGCAACGCCGUGUGCGGGAUGACGGCCUUCGGGUUGUAAACCGCUUUCGCUCAUGACGAAGCUUUGUGUGACGGUAGUGGGUAAAGAAGCACCGGCUAACUACGUG